rnacentral:rRNA from 1 species
UCGCCUGUUUAACAAAAACAUGUCUUUUUGAUUAUAAUUUAAAGUCUAACCUGCCCAAUGAAUUAUUUGAAUGGCCGCGGUAAUUUGACCGUGCUAAGGUAGCAUAAUAAUUAGUUUUUUAAUUGGAAACUGGUAUGAAUGGUUGGACGAGGAAAAAACUGUCUCAAUUUAAUUUAAUUAGAAUUUUAUUUUUAAGUAAAAAAGCUUAAAUAUUUUUAAAAGACGAGAAGACCCUAUAGAGUUUUAUAUUUUUUUAUAAUUUAAAUUAUUAGAAUUUUUUUUUUAAUUUUUAGAAAAGUAUUUUGUUGGGGUGAUAGGAAAAUUAAAUUAACUUUUCUUUAUGUUUUAUCAUUAAUGAAUGAGUAAAUGAUCCAUUUUUUAUGAUUAUAAGAUUAAAUUACCUUAGGGAUAACAGCGUAAGUUUUUUUAAGAGUUCUUAUCGAAAAAAGAG